rnacentral:rRNA from 1 species
GACGAACGCUGGCGGCGUGCCUAAUACAUGCAAGUUGAGCGCUGAAGGUGGGUACUUGUACCAACUGGAUGAGCAGCGAACGGGUGAGUAACGCGUGGGGAAUCUGCCUUUGAGCGGGGGACAACAUUUGGAAACGAAUGCUAAUACCGCAUAAAAACUUUAAACACAAGUUUUAAGUUUGAAAGAUGCAAUUGCAUCACUCAAAGACGAUCCCGCGUUGUAUUAGCUAGUUGGUGAGGUAAAGGCCCACCCAGGCGAUGAUACAUAGCCGACCUGAGAGGGUGAUCGGCCACAUUGGGAAUGAGAAAAGGCCCAAAACCCUAAGGGAGGCAGCAGUAGGGAAUCUUCGGCAAUGGACGAAAGUCUGACCGAGCAACGCCGCGUGAGUGAAGAAGGUUUUCGGAUCGUAAAACUCUGUUGGUAGAGAAGAACGUUGGUGAGGGUGGAAAGCUCAUCAAGUGACGGUAACUACCCAGAAAGGGACGGCUAACUACGUG